GACGAACCGUCCAAACGUUAUUCGGAAUCACUGGGCUUACAGAGUUCGUAGGCGGUCUGGCAAGUUGGGUGUGAAAUCCCUCGGCCUAACCGAGGAACUGCGCUUGAAACUACCAGACUCGAGGGAGAUAGAGGAAAGCGGAACUGAUGGUGGAGCGGUGAAAUGCGUUGAUAUCAUCAGGAACACCGGUGGCGAAGGCGGCUUUCUGGGUCUUACCUGACGCUGAGGAACGAAAGCCAGGGGAGCGAACGGG
rnacentral:rRNA from 1 species